rnacentral:rRNA from 1 species
CGUGUAGGCGGCGGCGUAAGUCGGAUGUGAAAGCCCUCGGCUCAACCGAGGAAGUGCAUCCGAUACUGCGUUGCUUGAGUACCGGAGGGGAUGGCGGAAUUCCCGGUGUAGAGGUGAAAUUCGUAGAUAUCGGGAGGAACACCUGUGGCGAAGGCGGCCAUCUGGACGGUAACUGACGCUGAGACGCGAAAGCGUGGGUAGCAAACA